UAUUGGUUCAUGAAGAGCAAGAGGUAAGUACAAGCCUAACUACCUCUAGCUCACAGACCUGCCCAGUGAAUAGAGCUUUGUAUUUUGAUGGGCUUGUGAUGACUUUGAAAUCAAUUGCUCAUUCAUUACAGUAAAAAAAAAAAAAAAUUGUUUUGAACACGACAGCAAAAAUAACUUUAAGCACAACUUAAUAAUAAUAGAUCACCAAUUUUAGUUAAUAAUUUUAUGCUAUACUGUUGGGUGAGGGAAGACUCAGACACUCAAUAUGAGAUCAGCAAGCUAUGUUUAUUGCAGAGAGUAUCAGACACUUAUACAGCACAUAAUAAGCUUAUGAAUAUUCUGUAAGCCAAGCGAUCUAUUGGUUAAACUAUGCCAUCAACUCUUCCUCAUUCCUUUGGGCCUACAUUCCCUAUUUCCCACGUCUCUCUGUCUGCUUGUUAUCCUACCCAGCUAGGCCCAGGCACACGCUGUCUUGCAGGUGCAAAAACUCAAACUAGCUGUGUUCGGGACUUUCCCAGCUCCUGGUCGGCUAACGAGCGAAUGUCUGCGUGACCUCUGUUAUGUAGCCAUUUCUCCACACUAUACUAUCAAAGUUUAAAGGGAUCAGUGAAUUUUAACUCUGGAGUCCUCUAUGCUAAGGAUGGUCAGCUUACAGAUGAUUAAAUGUUCAGUAAUGUAUUUGCUGGAGCUGUGCUUACCCAAGCUUUGGGUAAAACAAGCUUUGGGUUCCUUCUGUCUCACUGGGAGUUGCCCAGUUCAGUUGCAUCUGGUGAAAUUCACCCUGAGACCUUACAGAACUAGCUCAAACUACGUGAGAGCCAUUUGCAGUUCUCUCCAGACACCUGGAGAAUGGGUGACGCUUCUGAGGAUCUGGCAAGUGUAGUUAUCCAAAAAGAUACAAAUACUGGAAAAAUCAUAAGAAGCAAAAUAUGGCUGCAGAGAAAACAAACUGGAGAAAACAAAAGGUGAUAUUGUUAUCCUUAUCCUGUAUUAGAAACAUCCACUGUGCUUUGAUUCUGGUA